rnacentral:rRNA from 1 species
GACGAACGCUGGCGGCGUGCUUAACACAUGCAAGUCGAACGAAGUGGCGAACGGGUGAGUAACGCGUAAUCAACCUGCCCUUCAGAGGGGGACAACAGUUGGAAACGACUGCUAAUACCGCAUACUUAAGGAGGGGCUUGCGUCUGAUUAGCUAGUUGGAGGGGUCACGGCCCACCAAGGCGAUGCUCAGUAGCCAGUCUGGGGGGAUGAACGGCCAAAUUGGGACUUGGACACGGCCCAGACUCCUACGGGAGGCAGCAGGGGGGAAGCUUCCGCAAUGGACGAAAGUCUGACGGAGCAACGCCGCGGGAGUGAUGACGGCCUUCGGGUUGUAAAGCGCUGUUAAUCGGGACGCGGUACCGGAAUAGAAAGCCACGGCUAACUACGUGCCAGCCGCCGCGGUAAUUC